UAGGGAAUCUUCCACAAUGGACGCAAGUCUGAUGGAGCAACGCCGCGUGAGUGAAGAAGGCUUUCGGGUCGUAAAACUCUGUUAUUGAAGAAGAACGUGUGUGACAGUAACUGGUCAUGCAGUGACGGUAUUCAAUCAGAAAGUCACGGCUAACUACGUGCCAGCAGCCGCGGUAAUACGUAGGUGGCAAGCGUUGUCCGGAUUUAUUGGGCGUAAAGCGAGUGCAGGCGGUCUUUUAAGUCUGAUGUGAAAGCCUUCGGCUUAACCGAAGAAGGGCAUCGGAAACUGGAGACUUGAGUGCAGAAGAGGAGAGUGGAACUCCAUGUGUAGCGGUGAAAUGCGUAGAUAUAUGGAAGAACACCAGUGGCGAAGGCGGCUCUCUGGUCUGUAACUGACGCUGAGGCUCGAAAAGCGUGGGUAGCAAAACAGGAU
rnacentral:rRNA from 1 species